GACGAACGCUGGCGGCGUGCUUAACACAUGCAAGUCGAGCGGUAAGGCCCUUUCGGGGGUAUACGAGCGGCGAACGGGUGAGUAACACGUGAGCAACCUGCCCUUCUCUUUGGAAUAAGCGUUGGAAACGACGUCUAAUGCCGAAUAUGACCCACUGUCGCAUGGUGGGGGGUGGAAAGCUCUGGCGGAGAAGGAUGGGCUGGCGGCCUAUCAGCUUGUUGGUGUGGGUAAUGGCCCACCAAGGCGCCGCCGGGUAGCCGGCCUGAGAGGGUGACCGGCCACACUGGGACUGAGACACGGCCCAGACUCCUACGGGAGGCAGCAGUGGGGAAUAUUGGACAAUGGGCGAAAGCCUGAUCCAGCAACGCCGCGUGAGGGAUGACGGCCUUCGGGUUGUAAACCUCUUUCAGCAGGGACGAAGCGAGAGUGACGGUACCUGCAGAAGAAGGACCGGCCAACUACGUGCCAGCCGCCGCAGUAAAAC
rnacentral:rRNA from 1 species